GAAUCUGCUGGCCUCCAGAUGGUGCUUAAAGAGUAAUUAACUAUCACAACAGUGUAUUUGUUACCUCAUGAUGUGCAAGCUAAACAAACCACAAUAAGUAACAGAAUGCUUAUAAUGAAUAUGGAACCAAACAGUUCAUCAUUGGCACUCUAGUUGCCCGAUGGGAAAACUUCCCUGCUGCUUUAUGUACUCAAGGCCUUGACACAACAACAUUGAGUUUACAACUCUAUAACCAAAGCCACAACCCUACCAGCUGUCCUGCUUUUUAUGUUGCUUCUUUAGGUCAACCCCGUGGGAUUCUGUUACUGCUUGUGAUGAAGCCCUGGCUGAGGACAUGAUGGAUGUGGCGUGUCUCGGCAGAACUUAUCCACGACUAGCAUUCUGUGUUGCUAAAAGCGUUGAGCUUAUAUAAAAGUAGGCUGGACAGACUCGGGAAAUCCAGAGGGAUGCCUGAUCCGAGAGAGUGAGGAAGAGAGAGACUCAGACCCAGAAGUCUCGACGACCCGCACCGACCGCACAACACGGCACAACCCAAAGAAGAGAGCACCGCCCCCCUUUCACAGUUUCCCUUCACUGACGCACCGCACAUGUGAUAUAAAAGAAUCUUUCCGCCUACCGGAAACAUCCAGCACAUUAGUGCCACAAUAUAAUAAAAGCUCCACAACAUUUUUAA